AUUGAACGCUGGCGGCAGGCCUAACACAUGCAAGUCGAGCGGUAGAGAGAAGCUUGCUUCUCUUGAGAGCGGCGGACGGGUGAGUAAUGCCUAGGAAUCUGCCUGGUAGUGGGGGAUGACGUUCGGAAACGGACGCUAAUACCGCAUACGUCCUACGGGAGAAAGCAGGGGACCUUCGGGCCUUGCGCUAUCAGAUGAGCCUAGGUCGGAUUAGCUAGUUGGUGAGGUAAUGGCUCACCAAGGCGACGAUCCGUAACUGGUCUGAGAGGAUGAUCAGUCACACUGGAACUGAGACACGGUCCAGACUCCUACGGGAGGCAGCAGUGGGGAAUAUUGGACAAUGGGCGAAAGCCUGAUCCAGCCAUGCCGCGUGUGUGAAGAAGGUCUUCGGAUUGUAAAGCACUUUAAGUUGGGAGGAAGGGUUGCAGAUUAAUACUCUGCAAUUUUGACGUUACCGACAGAAUAAGCACCGGCUAACUCUGUGCCAGCCGCCGCGGUAA
rnacentral:rRNA from 1 species